GAAUUUAAAGCCAAGCAAUCUAAAAAGUUAACGAAAAAGUGAAAAAGUCCAAUCACUAGGUUGUUUUUGGCAAUGAUUUGGAUAUUUUUUUCUGUUAUCUGCCUC
rnacentral:ribozyme from 16 species